AGCCCGCGGUGGGGGUCCCCGCGCCGCCCAGGCCUACCCCGGCUCCUUGGGAUAGAUGGGGAAGCUGAGGCCCAGAAGGGGGCUGAGACCACCUCCCAGUUUCCCCAGUGAGGUGGCGCCUGAGCCACGGCCAGGCCCGGCCUCCUUCCACCCGGCCCUGCUGUGCGCGCGGCGGGUGCUGACCUGGCGAGGCCGGACAGGGGACCAGGUCGGGGUGACCGUCACUGACACCUGGACAGUCCUCGUUGUGUUCGGGGUGGGAAGCCCACGGAAGACAUCAACACAGGAGACUCCCAAGACUGCUGGGGCCAAAUGUGGCAGGUGGACGUCUCCCCGCCACCGAGCAAGCCAUCAGUUCUGCAGCGGACACCAGCCGAGUGUCCUCCAACACCAUUCCGUGAGUCUGGGGACCCAAGAUCUUAUUUUCCUUUCUGUCACCCCCGCUUGGUUUUGGAUUCCGUGACAGCUGGACCCGGCUUCUGCGUGGUGAGUGCCUCUGAGUGGAAACACUUGUGGUGGUGUCGUGUGUGUGUUUGAACACGUGGGGGGGAUCUCUGAAGGAGUCGCUGACGGAAGUCCAGCAAGCCUCACUCAGAGAAGCCUCCUUAUUUGUGUGGUCCCAUUUGGUGAGCCCUGAAGGAAUUGUUAGUGGAAGCUCAACAGGCCUGACUGGGGGUGUCCGUCCGCUCGUCCAUCUGGCCCAAAUACCACCCAUUGAAUUCCCAGUGAGAGGUCAUCCCUCCCCACCUUGAGUGCAUCAAAGACACCAGGGACCACAGGGGGCAAGUCUGAGCCUUGUGCGGUCAAUGUUGGCUGCUGAGCGAGGUGACCUGUGUCUGUUUCCUUGUAUUUUGCGACAGCUGGGAUGGAAAAUGUUAAUUUUACCGGUUCCCCAUGCAGCUCACUGGGCAGCAUCUUGCAAAAUCGAGAGGUUUUUUCCCCCUGUGAUUCCAUGAAGUGGAAAAAGGUGAUUUUCCUUUGUGAUGUGGCUUCGCCCCCAUAGCUGUGGUUGGUGCUGUGAGCAGGGUCACCAGGGCAGCCCAGGGAAAGGGGACCCAAAAAACCUGGCAU